rnacentral:rRNA from 1 species
GACGAACGCUGGCGGCGUGCUUAACACAUGCAAGUCGAACGGAAAGGCCCUGCUUUUGUGGGGUGCUCGAGUGGCGAACGGGUGAGUAACACGUGAGUAACCUGCCCUUGACUUUGGGAUAACUUCAGGAAACUGGGGCUAAUACCGGAUAGGAGCUCCUGCUGCAUGGUGGGGGUUGGAAAGUUUCGGCGGUUGGGGAUGGACUCGCGGCUUAUCAGCUUGUUGGUGGGGUAGUGGCUUACCAAGGCUUUGACGGGUAGCCGGCCUGAGAGGGUGACCGGCCACAUUGGGACUGAGAUACGGCCCGGACUCCUACGGGAGGCAGCAGUAGGGAAUAUUGCACAAUGGGCGGAAGCCUGAUGCAGCAACGCCGCGUGCGGGAUGACGGCCUUCGGGUUGUAAACCGCUUUCGCCUGUGACGAAGCGUGAGUGACGGUAAUGGGUAAAGAAGCACCGGCUAACUACGUG